GGUGCUGUGGUGCAGCGGGUUAACACCCUGGCCUGAAGCGCCAGCAUCCCAUAUGGGCGCCGGUUUAAGACCCGCCUGCUCCA
rfam:Oryctolagus cuniculus chromosome 2, whole genome shotgun sequence.